AUCAACUUUCGAUGGUAGGAUAGAGGCCUACCAUGGUGGUAACGGGUAACGGGGUGUUAGGGCACGACACCGGAGAGGGAGCCUGAGAAACGGCUACCACAUCCAAGGAUGGCAGCAGGCGCGCAAAUUACCCAAUCCCGACACGGGGAGGUGGUGACAAUAAAUAACAAUACGGGGUUCUUUAGGAUCUCGUAAUUGGAAUGAGUACAAUUUAAAUCUCUUAACGAGGAACAAUUGGAGGGCAAGUCUGGUGCCAGCAGCCGCGGUAAUUCCAGCUCCAAUAGCGUAUAUUAAAGUUGUUGCAGUUAAAAAGCUCGUAGUUGAAUUUCGGGGUUAGUAGGUUGGUCAUGCCUCUGGUAUGUACUGGUCUCACUGAUUCCUCCUUCCUUAUGAACCGUAAUGCCAUUAAUUUGGUGUUGCGGGGAAUUUGGACUGUUACUUUGAAAAAAUUGGAGUGUUUAAAGCAAGCUAACGCUUGAAUACAUUAGCAUGGAAUAAUGAAAUAGGACGUUCGAUCUUAUUUUGUUGGUUUCUAGGAUUGACGUAAUGAUUAAUAGGGAUAGUUGGGGGCAUUAGUAUUCAAUUGUCAGAGGUGAAAUUCUUGGAUUUAUUGAAGACUAACUACUGCGAAAGCAUUUGCCAAGGAUGUUUUCAUUAAUCAAGAACGAAAGUUAGGGGAUCGAAGACGAUCAGAUACCGUCGUAGUCUUAACCAUAAACUAUGCCGACUAGGGAUCGGAUGAUGUUAAUUUUUUAAUGACUCAUUCGGCGCCUUACGGGAAACCAAAGUGUUUGGGUUC
rnacentral:rRNA from 1 species